rnacentral:lncRNA from 1 species
UUCUCUCUUCCCACCAACUCUUUCCUCUCUUCCUCCCAAGACCCCCACUCUCUGCUACCCACUUGAACCCCAAUCCUCAACACAUCAGUUACCAACUUCUCAUUGAUAAAUUGUUCAGCCGAAAGUGGCCAUGUUAUCAGAGGCACACCAGCACACACACACAGUUACCAACUUCUCAUUGAUAAAUUGUUCAGCCGAAAGUGGCCAUGUUAUCAGAGGCACACCAGCACACACACCUUCUAAAGUUGAGUUCCAACCACAAUGAGUCAUAAACCCACCAACUGCAUCAUGCUCCAAUAUCAAAAGCUGAGGAGCCCAACCUCUCAAAAUCAAACCUUUAUCCAUUUCCUUCAUUCUCUUUUCAAAUUCAUCAAGAACCCAA